ACCAAGCACUACCACUAUAAGGUGGCCUUACUGAGCAAAGUUUGAGCACUGAUGAUCUUGGAUAGAAUAAUUUCCAUUUGUGUGAGAACAUUCUUACAGUGAUGUACAUCUAUGAGGCUACAUAAAAGCUGAAUUAGAAACCCCAAUUUGAAAUAUGGUAUUUCAAAAGUAACAAGGAGUCCUUCCCCUCUCUGGAAAUCUCUGGUUUCCCAAGCAAGCGGAUGGAUUAUAAUGAGCCAUUGUGUAUUAUUUUCUGUUUGUCAGUGACCCAGUUUCCAUGCUGUCUGCGAUACUGAAAUGGGGAAUUAAAGCUCGGGGUAGAUCUCCAGCUGCAAUAACGCAGCCCUGCUCACCACGUCGGUACCCGGCGAGCUGGGAGCAUCGCCCCAUCAGCACACAAAACUCACCAACUUUCAUUUCUUGGCUUGGAAAACAUGACAAAUGCCUUUCCAUCAUCAACCAUAAUUUCCAACAUCAACAAACAGCCAUCCCUUCAUUAAAUGCGGAUCUAACCGGCCAACCCCCAGAAGCAAAGUGGGUGUCCAGAUGGCAACACAGUCUUGCCCCCUCCACUCACCAGGUAUUUUUCUUUUCUGUUUGAGCCUGAAUUAAAAAAAAACCCAAAGCCCUGGGUGUCUGACAUCAAAGUGUGGUAGAAGGGAACUAUUGGGAUGGUGUUCUGGCAUUAAGGUGGCGCUAGAAAGGGAGAGUAGAUGGGCAGUGAGGGAGCAAAUCCUGUUGAAAUAUGAUUAAGUGACACUGAAGAUAAGGAAAUUCCUCCUUUAAAUGUUGAUUAAACAUAGAUUUUUUUUUUUUUUUUUGUGUCUAAAUUAUAGUUACAGAUCAUUUUGUUUCUGUCUGCGGUCUCAGAGAAAGCUGAUGGUGCUUGGCACUUUCAUAUCUACUGUAAGUUUAUGUUUUAUGCUCGCUCACUAAGUACAUUUGUAACUAAAGAUGAGAACAGGAGGCAUAAAGAGAUGAAUGUGCUAUAAAGUACCUCCAGCAGUCUGAGAGGAAAAGCCCACAAUUUUCUGGAAUAUGGUGGUUUCAUGCAACCAUGCUCCAAAUCAAGCUUUCUCAGUCACUAUUUACAACUAGGCAAGCCUGGUUUCUGGUCAUGUUGUUUGUUACACAUCAUUUGCCCAAGCAGAAAGUCUGCUGUGAGUAUUAUGGGAUGGAGGAACUUCUUUUUUUUUUUUUUUUUUUUUUUUUGAUUCUUUGUGCUAAUACAAUCAGUCACUUUUUUUUUCCAUAAAUUACCAAUUGUGAGUGAAUCAUCAUUCUUGGCAUUACUAGAAACAGGUUUUAUUCUCCCAUUUCUGUACCAGCCCACCUCCAUCAAGCCCAGCCUUUUUCUCUGAAGCUCAUUUACAGACAUAGAGAACAACCAGCCCUCCUGUUUCCCGGCAGGACAACCUGCGCAAGUGGUGGCCCUUCACAGUGCUAUUAUUUUCUCUGCCUCCCAAAGAAGAUUUAAUUCAGUCUUUAAAUUCAACAGGAUCCCUGGUGGAGGAGGAGGAGGGGAAGGGAGCAAGGGAUGAAUGAAGAGAGGGAGGAAAUACCUUGCAUCUCCUUUUGGGCCAAUCCCGUGCAUUUUACUGAAUUUUUCCACAGUUAUAAAUCCAAGAGGCUCCUCAAACAUGUCUCCAAGGUGUGCUGCUCACUCUGCUCCAGCACGAACCAGGAAUGGAGGCAGAGAGGGAAAAGCAGGUUUGUGCAGACAAGGCUGGUUGUCUCCAGAAGAGGAGACCUCUGUACCAACCCAGCAAAACUAACUUUAUACUCAGAUAAAUAUGUACCAUUCUCUGGACAUCAAAUCUAGAUUUAUUUUUCCUUUGUGUGGGGAAUCCUGGUUCAUGCCUGUUGCCGGGAUUGGGCAUGCGUGAUGUGUGCCCAUCUAGUAUUGCUUGUGGCCAGUCAAAAAAAAAAAAAAAAUCACAUAAUCCACUUCAGGUUUAAAAUAUAAUUUAAACCUGUCAAGUCUCAUAACUUCCAAGACGGCAAAUUUGCUGUAAAGAGAAUGGUUUCCACUUACUAGAUUUUAUAUUCAGAUCUCUGGCAUGCAGGCUUGCCACCAAAGAAGUCUUUUAUGCAAGCACAUAAUCAACGGAAGCCUUCAUUUUCGCUGCGGUUAGAUUUAAUGUGAUAAUGAAUAUUCCAGUGUCAGCUCUGGGUAAACUCAUGGAGUUUCACCUCAGAUUCCCUCCUUUAAAUAUCUCACACAGCCACACGCUUGCUGAGUGGUAAAUAAUUCAGUGGCACCAGCAGAAGGACACCUGAGAUGUGUUCGAAAUGCAAACGUCCCCGUCUGGCUCAUGUCCUGCCCCGCACUCCUUCUUGUAAACACCACAAGACGCGCAGCAAAGAGCACUAAGGCUUUAUUACCUAUUUAUAUUUGCUUUUUGCAAUGGAGAGCAGACAGAAGAAACGCAUGGUUGCAGCAAGGUGCCCGUGGAAAAAUCACCUCUGGAUGCAGCACAGUCACCCAUGCAGGUCCCAUUGGGCUCACUGGGUCGACUGGGACAUGGAAAGUCGGAGCAGGGAACCUCAGUGGUUUUGUUCCAAACAAAUGCCAGAGAUGUGAGGAAUCCAUAUUUCCUCACUGGCAACAUUUAUUUUUAUUAUAAUUUGCAGAACUACUGAUGAUAUUUUGCAUUCACUUGAGAGUCUCUCUGCAGUUUGCAAACAUUUAUCCACCCUGUAUGAGGCGAAUUCUUUGAUGCUCAUUUUACAGAUGUGGAAUGCGGCUGAAUUAAUAUUACUGUGAAAACCUUUGCUGCCAGAUUUCCCUGCCUGUAUCACUAUAUUUUACCCUUAUUACCUAAAUAGGGCUGCCUGGGGGAGCAGCUUUCCAACAUAAUCGCUAGGAAUCUGCUGUUUCUUUGGGCUUUUCACCUAUUUUGCAGUUAUUGGCUGAUGUUUUUCCUCUCCUUCUUUUUUGCCAGUUUCAAGUUUCCACUCCGACACCAAAUGCUUUUCUCUUUUUCCACUGCUGUUAACACUAGGCAGAUCAAACAAACACAAAAGUGUUUUCUCAAAAAAUAAUCAUUAAGCAUAUCGUGCAGUUUAGUUCAAGUGACAGCUGAAUAUUUGUUUCAUUAAUAAGUAAUUUGCAAUUAAUUCAUGGAGUCAUUUCUGAAAGAACAUUGUGAUGUUUCCAUGGUUUUAAAGUAGCAAAACACUAGUCAUUUUUUGACAAAAUUUCAGUACAAAUUGCUCAUAUGCAUCCACUGGAAAAAUCCAGCCUCUCGUGAGGAGCAUCCCCUUGAUGUGGGAACACAGCUCCCAUUACUGUGAGUGGCGAGGCACCUAUGUAAAAUAUGCAGUAUGUAGGGUUUGAAUUUCAGGUGCAUGGGGGCUCCUGCUCCUUCAUUCAAAUUGUUAGCAACAAAAUUGCUAAAGUUGUGGGAUUUUUCCAUUUAAGGCUCAUAUAAAACUCUUUUCGAUGCUGAAAGAAUAACAAAAUCUCCAAGCCUACGAAGGUGAACUUCUGCCUGGGAUGGAAUAAGCACCGUUUGCAUUGACAUUUUAUUAAGAAUUAAAUAGCAGUUUACCACCCUUCACAAUGUUCUUUCUAACCUUGUGAACUGGCAUGAUUUGCAAAUAAAUAACACAGAAAAGUGUCUUUAAUUCCAGACACCAGCACCACCUCCAGCCUAAAGCCCAGGACCUGAUUGAUACCUGGCCAGCAAACGCUAAGGACAUUUCUAAGCUACAGAAACAAUCGCAAUUUUUGCCAUAUCACCUUCUCAAUAACCUUCCCCCAAAAUUAGAGGUUAGGGAGUUGUCUAUAAUCAUUAACUGCCUGAAGGAGAGAGAUGCAUUACCAAAGCAACAAACCUCUAAUCAACAGAGUGGGCUCAGUGCAGAAGAGAAAAAUAACUCCUUAAGAAGCAAGUUGCAAUAGUUUAAAAAAAACAAAUCAGAUUUGACAUACAUAGUUAGCACCCUGCAGGUGCAAAAUUAAAAUGUUGUGAAAAGUGAACAUCAUAAAUUUGUGCCUAUUUGGGAAUGUAAUUUGCUAGAAUUAUGCUUUUAGAUGGAAGUGCUUACAGGUUUUCAUAUUCAGCAGCAACAGGAUCAAUUACAUUAACAAACAGAUACAGCUCUGAAUGGACACAGGGAGCUGGUAAAAAAAAAAAAUCAAAUGUUUGUUUCUAAAUUAUAAAUAAAGAAAAAAAACUAAAACAAUGCCCAAUUUCAAACUAUCCUAAAUGAGAUUAAUAGAUUGCUAACUUGGUUGUCUGGAAAGCCAAGUCCUAGACCCUUUUAUAAAAGUCUUUAACUGGAAGGGCUUUUUAAUUUGCCAGAAAGAUCAGCUUAAAAUUUAUAUUUAAAAACUUGAUGCAAUGUCAUAAUCUGUGAGCUAAAAAUUAAUAAAAGUUGGAUAAGAGAAUCUAUAAUAUGUGACAAGAAAAUCUGAAAUUGAUCAGCUAUUUCGUAUCUUCCACCGAUACACUGUGCUUUGCUAUACAAUGACUUCCAUGAGAAGAUGUGGCUUUGCAUUGAAUGCAAUUUUCAACCUAUUAGGUUGAUCCAGUUUCCACUGAAGUAAAAGAAAAGAUUACCAUUGACUUCAGCGAAGGCUGGAUUAGACUCUUCACAUUCACAGUGGGGGAAAUAAAAUCUUAAUGAUUAUUUAUGCCAGAAAUUCCAGUGUAGAAAGCAAAACUGGUGCAAAAUUGGUGUUGAAUUUGAAGAGAAAAAUGAGCACAGUGGAUAUAAAAUACGAUUCCACUAAAAAUUAUAAGAUUACUAGUUAUUCUGAAUAAGCUUAUAGAAAUGCUAUAGAUGUAAUUAAAUGGCACAAAUAAACUUCUAAAACUAAUUAUAGCAAUGGAGUGAUGAUUAUACAGUUGCAUUAAGAGUUAAAAUAAAACAUGAUACCAGAUAAAUGGGUAUAUUAGAACGGCAUUAUUAGAUUUUUUUGUAUUUAUCCACAAUCAAGUGUCACCAUCCCUUGAAGCUAAGGACAAAUAGAAGAAAACAGAUAGAGGAGAAAGACUGAGUUCACUUGCUAAAUAUAGCCAGUAACAUCAGGUAUUUCUACUAGAAAAAAGGAGAGGUACCAGCUACCAAUACAUGACUUGCACAACAAAUUAAAAUUCUUAUUCAGAGUCCUACAGCUCCACCAGAAUUGACAACUUGUGUAAGUACCAGACCAUAAAAGAAGUAAAACUUGAAAAGGAUUUACUGCAGAAAAUUGAAACGUCCCAGACAAAGCACAAUAUACCAAUAAAGAGCCAAUUAUUGCAACCAUCAAUAUUCAGCAGAGGAAAAGAUACGCAGAUUCAAUUAGGAAAAAAUACAGUCAUGCCUAUCAUUUGGCAGAAGAGCAUUACUUACAGAUAGGAAAAGGGACACUCGCUUUAUUUGUAUGUUUAAAUAAUAAUUUGAUACUUUAUCCAUUAUGUCAAUAAAUUAGCAUUUAGAAGAAACAAAUAUAUGCACAGUGUCACAACAAGUCUCUUCCUGAUUUAAAGUAAGUCAUCCCUCGCUUUGCUUUCUCUUGUCUCUGAAAUCCAUAUUGACUUUAAAACAUAUACGUAUGAGGUGUGCCAACUUUUGAAACCCAAGGGAGACAUUCACCAGUUGCCAGAAACUUGCUUAAAUCACUUACAAACUUACCUGUUUUUACAAUUCAAACAUAAACCAGACACAGCUUGCAUGGGGGGUUUUGUGAGAAUUCAUCCCUGGGGAACUGGUAAAUGCUUCUUUGGGAGGUUCCCUGUUAAUAAACACCUGCAGCUUAUCCCUAUUUUGCAGUCACAGGCUGGUGAGGGUUUCAGUUUAUAAGGUCACACAGACUGUGUCUGCCACCCCAGGUACGAGUUGGGCCAUUAGCAUAAUAGAAAGAGCAGGGGAAAAGAAGAAAGAAAGAAAAAAAAAAGAAAAAAAACCCACAAACUAAAAAUAGCCUUUUAUUCUGCUUUUGCUAUAAUACUAUAAAGACCAACAGAAACAUCCACAUGCUCAGCUAUGCCUUGGCUAAGCAAAUCUCAUAAAUGUCUGAAUUUCCCAUUAUGGCCAUGAUUUCUAGAGGGAGAUGAAAUCUUUACCUCUCUCUAAAUUGAUGGGAGUCUCCCUCCUCCCUUCAAAUGCCAGAAUAUGGAAGUAGGAGACUAUCCCUCUGAAGGCUGUAUUUUAUAAUAAUCUGAUGAGAUGCCUUUUGAUUUAGGGUUUGCAUGAAGGGAGAAAAAAAAAAUCCAUGUAGUCUGCCAGCUCAUCUAACCCAACUUUAAUCAUUGACUGUGUAGACAGCUAUAUCUGAGCUAGUCAUCUAAAAUCCCUUUAAAGUCAAUGGUGAGAAAUAGAUGUUUUUAGGAUGCAACUAAUUGAUUGGAAGGAAGAAAGAUCUAUCAUAUAUGGAAAAAGAAUUGUGGCCCAGAGGGUUCUGCUUUUCCUCAUUUACUUUACAGGGAGUUCACACAUCUGCAUUGUAGUAGUCAUCCAAAAGAAGUGAGAAGAAUAUCACCAAUCUCUCCUUUUUUAAAAAAAAUCUCUUUUACUGUUCCUCUUCCCUUCUGUUUCUACACCUAGUCUCUCCUGGGACAUUAGUUCAAUUUUUUAUAUUAUAAGCCCAUUAACCCCUCAAGGAAAUAGGCUCAUUCAUCUGAUGGUAAUGAAAAUUUUAGGUCACAGGUGACCACUCACCUGGGCCAGAAGAACUGACCCAUCAGGUUUAAAGAACACAUUAACAGAUAGUUUCAUGCCAGUUAUCACAGAAAUAUUCAGAAGAAAACUGCCUACCAUUUCACCAGCCUCCCAAGGACCCCUGGGCUCUUCAGCCCACAGCACUCUUGGUCACAUCCAAACUUAUGAUGUUUCACAUAGCCUAAUAAACUGGGCUGCGAUGAUUUUCAUGAAGACAAAGAGAAAUAUUCUCCCUCAAGAGGACAUGGUAUAUCUGUCAACUUGAAAAUACAGCGAACGUCAGGGAGAAGAAAAAUUAAUAAUAAUAAAUUUGUCCUCAUCAAGUAAAAAUCCAAUGAAGUCAACUUGAAAUAAGAUUUGCUAGUCUUGAAUAUUGUGGAGACCGCCAAAUGCCUUUCUUUCGCCAGAUCUACCACCCAACGGACAGCCCUGUGUAACUUUGUUCUGCUUUUACAAGCUGGUGAACCAGCCUAUUUCCUCUCACCCACCAAAGAGCUACCAUUGUACUGAAGAUUUUUGAGAAAUCCGCCGCACACUCUGACAUAAGGGAGUAAAGUUUUGUUUCAUGUUUUCCUUAUGCCAGGGCAUUCAUCUUCAAAGUGCCUCGCACGCAACCGGGGAGCCUUAGAAGUGGAUCAGGGGCGAUUCAAAGAGCUUUGCAUGGAGCAGGAGGGGGUUCCUGUUCAAAGCUCUGGCUUCGCGUCUGCCAGAGAAGAGCAGAUUCAAAAACCGAAGAGGUCACUUCACCUACCUGUAGUGGGAUCUCAUAUUCAGAAGACUCCAACUAAAAAUAAGGGAUAUUUGGACAGUGUGAUAACUGAAAACCCUCUAGGCGAUGUUCUUGCCUGUGUUCCCGCACACACAGACACAUGCAGAGCAAUGUCUCCUUUAGAAAAACAACCCCAAAACUGUAGGAGAUAUAAUGGCCUCCAGAAAACUUACUCACAAAUUUGCUCCAUCUAUAGCAUCCUCCUGGUUUGAGCACAAAUGUUUCCAAUGAGCUGGACCACCACAGACCUCUGAUCACACCAUCUGAAACAAGGAAACUAGAAUAAGCAGAUAUUUAAUAUAUGAUAGAGUGGCAGAAACACAGAUUUCUUGCAAUUACCCAAAUUGAUGCCAUAUAGAGGAAAUAUUCUACUUUGUUCAGAAAUUGGAAUUACCUGUUCUGUGGCUGGAUCUGGAAGUCCCUGGAUAACAUAAGGGCUCUGCUAGGAUGGGUAUUGUCUAAACACAGAGUAAUACACAGCUGCUUUGCUUAAAUUUGUAAUUUAAAUGGGAAAUAAAGUAUGGAAGAAAGUAUCGGUCUCACCUAAUGGAUAGACAACUGAGACAAGGAGAGAUGCAGGUUCAUUUCGGAACUUUCACAGGCUCCUUUGACUUAUAUUGUGGUCUCAUUAAAAUCUGUAAAGCCUUUGGGUUAUUCUUUGUCUGAAAGGCACAUAACAUAUACAUUUACAUUAAUACCUGUAACAUUUUUUUUGUUAGAGUACCUGGCUUCAUUUUUCUUUUAAACUGAUUUUAAACAUUGCCUCCGCUACCACAUGCUUAACUUUGCUGCAGUGCUGACUGCGGUAUUUCAUAUUUAGGGUGCUCACUCCAAGUUUGGUUUAUAACAGCAGGCCAAUAUAGAUCAGAAACUUACUGUCUGAUUCUACUUUUUAUGUAACAUUUGUGUCUUUUCCAGAUUUUCCUACAUAGUAAAUGUAUUAUUCCUUUAAAGCACCUGAUCAAAUAAAUUAGGAUCUGGGACAUAAUCCCAAGAUCUUAAUUUAUUUGUAGAAUUAUGCCUGUACUGCAUGUACUCUGUAGUCACCUAUAGUUUAAUUUGCUACAAGGCUUUGCCCAAAAAGAGCUGACCAUUUUCACACCCUUUCAUCCCAUAAGGCUGCUAGAACACACACUAUGCUGUACAACCGCUUCCAGGCGGUUUCAAAGCCCAUAUUUGCAAUGCGUUUCCUUUUUUCCACAUUUUAUGCUCACUUUCGUUACUCUUGCCGUGACCUCACCUGGAGCAACGAGGCCGCAAGCCUUCCAGAAGUCUUCACAGAAAGAGCAAUUGGUUUAUGCCCCAUGUGUUUCCCAGGUUCUAAAACAGCAUAAAAGUAGAAAUGAAGAGCCUCAUACUAUUUUUUUCUUCCUGCUGUGUGCAAUCAAGCCAGAAAGUAUCCCUUACUCAGAAAGAACCUGCAAAUUCCCUCGGCGUACCUGACCCACCAGCAGUGAUCCACCAUUAGGACCAUUUUCCCCCUACCCGCGCACAUCGUUGGUGCUGCGCUGGGUCUUCUCCUGCUGAGCUCCUCCAGCGGGGCUGGAACGCUGCCUGGCUCCACAAUGCCUGGGCUGAAAGAAAAAAUCCCGAAUGUGAAUGGAACACAAACCUUUGCCACCAAAAUAUGUGAAUUAUUUUUCAAGGACUUCACUUUAUGUAUUGCAGAUUUGACCCCGUAUAUCUGGGAAGUCUGAAGCGGAAAUAGGUUUAACACAGCUAAGAAAUAAUCACAGGAAAGCAUUUUGGAUUCAGCCAAGUAUGAAGUAAGGCAGCCUGUUUUCUUCAAAUAAAGCUGACUCUACCUUUCAUUACAUUCAACUACAUCAAUUAGAUAGAGCUUUAAUGGAAAAGGAUUAAAAAGUACAAAGGUAAAACAAACAGCAUUACUGCAAUGUCCAGUAGGAUGAAAUGACUUCCUGAUGUGCUAGGUAUGAUUACAGAAUUACUGGGGAAAAAAAGGAAGAAAGGAGGAAUAGAAGGAUUUAAUGUACCUUGCCCAGACUCACUGCAACAGUAAUGUGAACACAGGACAUGGCAGCACACAUAUUUUGGCAAUUAGCCCCCAUGUCCCCAUGCUGAACCUCAUUGCCAGAGCUCAGAUCUGAACUCUUUAUUUCUGUAUUUACCUAUUUACUCCUAGCCAGAAAAGCACAUUUCAUAAAUGCAAAUUUUUAGAUGAUGUUUGUUUGUUUACAUUUCUUCAAAUUGGACCCGUGCUGUUCCAGAUCAUUGCAAACUAUUUACUUCACUCUACUUUUAUCCACAUUUUCAUUUGCAGGAUAUGUAACAUUCAGCUCUAUAUUCCUUGAAAGUUUGAUAUCAGGUUCUUCAUAUGCCUAAUUUGGGCUUGAUUCAAGGCUGGGAUAAAUUGUUACAACUCAGAUGAAGUCAAUAGGAGCACAGCGACUUACAUCAGCUUUGUGUCAGUAAAUACCGAGGAGAUUGAUCUCAAACUUUUUCAGAACAAAAGAUUUUUGAAGAUGGAUUAAACAACAUAAAUGCUGAGCUGUUUUGCUAGACUGCAAAUGGCAUAACACAUGCUUUGUGUGACAUCUCUGAAUUAUCCCUUCGUGGUAAUGUUGACAUUACAUGGUAUUGACUCAUGGAAGAAGCUUAAAUACCCUUUUAAGUUUUCAGGACUCUUUGACAAAGCACUAUUUCAUUAACAAAAUGUUAAUGGAAUCUAGGAAGCUUGAAUAUACAGUAUAGCCUGAUGGUUUCAAGCAGCUCUGUUCACUGACCAAGAGAUGUGACUGCAACAGAACAGUGUGUUAUUUUUAGGCCAAUAGAAAAGGGAGCAUCUUGAGCAGGACAGUCCUUGGUGGAGAAAAGAGGACCCAAGUCUGCUUCCACAGGUCUGUCUUCCAGGUACCACUGUUAGAGGGCACUCCUUCAGCUAGAAGAUUUUCCUCAAAAUCUUGAUGCAACUAAAUUAAAAAUAAAAGAAUGAGGCUCUUCAAGAAUAAGCAAAUACAGUCCUGAAUGGUUGCUACCCUAAUAAUGGUCACACCAGAAUCAGACAAGUUUAACCGCUGCACAAGAUGAAUACAGUCUAUGACCAGAGGAUCCAGGUGAGCUUCCAGGGCUCAAUUUUCCUACUCAUAUGGAAAUGCAAUUACCUUAGAAAAGAGAAAGGAAGAACACACAGAACAUUGCUCAAAGGUUUCUUGGAGAAUACUGUAGGUUUUGGUAUAAAAUAAUUUAAAGAAAUUAUAAACAGUUUGAAUUCAGGGCAAUUAAAGGAAGAAAGGCAUUUCAAUCGUGACUGCAAAGUAUUGUGCUCAGCCAAGGACACUGAACUUUGUGAUCUCGCUGGGGUCGUGAAUUUUCCACAUGAAUUAACAGAUGCUCAUUGAGCUGCAACAACCAUGCAGGAUUUUUAUCCUGGCUGAAGAUCUGCCCCACGAUGUUCACAUCCCAUUGCCAGAAAAGCAUCUCCCACCCGCCAGAUAGCAUUGGUCAAAGCCCUCUGUGAAUAAUCACUUUAUAAUGCCAGACACUCACUAUGCAGGGGGUCACUGGUAGCAGGGUUGAAAAAAGGACAUUUGGAUCUAAAAUCACAAGCCUCUGUAGUCAACACUGGAAAAAUUAGCUCUGUCUCAAAGGCUCUUAUAGACCUAGGAGGAUCAACAUGUUCAAACAACAGACUGCCACACUAUGUUAGCAAAGGUUAGGGAAAGCUGAAAACCUUAAGGCCUUGCAAAUCAAUCUGUGUACCGCACAAAAGUUUCUCCUCUUCCAAACCUGAGACAAAUGCAGAUUGUAUUCAUCAUACUUUUAGAAAACCUCUAAUCAAAACGUUCUCCCUCUUUUGAACAAGAUUAUAACACUCCAGAGAUACCAAGACAACUGGAAGGCAGAAGUUUUGCAGAACGGGCAUUUUGCUUCUAAAACUCCACUUCAACCCAGCUGUGAUUACACAGAUUUCUAGUACCCUGUCAACUCAAUAUAUUCACACCCAUUUUUUUCUUCAGCUGCCAUAUUUAGCCACAAAUGCUGUGACCAUAAAUUUUAAAAAAAACCCACCUUUUUAAAAAACUCCUCAACUACAUCUACAAUUGCAUUAACAUAAAACUCACCAGAUGCAAUGGGCACUACUUGUUAGGAUUUUGCUUUCCCAUUCAUAGGAAGCAGUUCAGUUGAGUUGAGCUGAGCUGACCUAAGCCAAGCUAUAGCCCACCCCCACCUGCCUCCCACUCUGGCACCUGUCCCAUCCGCUGUUCCUCAAGGAGGACAUUCAUUACUCCAGAAGAAAAACACCUGUGUAGUAUCAGGCACUGCUGAUUUUCUUGAGGUAAGAGAGUAUUUACCAUCUCUGUAGUACAACUAUAAGUAUCAGCACUUUUUUUCUUUUUCUUAUCUCUGGAAGGGUCUUUAAGUCAAAAGAUUAAAGAGCCAAGAAAAGGUAUACAAAAACUGAUAAUCCCAACACAGAGACCUUCCAAUCAUAAAUACUUGUCAUUCUUAGCAUAAUAUAAAACUUCCAAUAUACUGUUCUGUUUCAGGCACAUUUAAGUACCCUAUAGAAAGUACUUUAUGCUGCUAUUAUUCCUAAAGAACUUCUCAUGAGUUUGGAUCCAUCAUCAUUCAUCAUGUCAGCCACUCUAUGGAUAGUUACACACACUUUGUCUGCUCAGUUUUAUCAAAUAGCAAAUUAUUUGUAUGGUGGAUCUCUCCCUUUUUGGAUGUUCAGCAGCCUGACUUGAAACCUUUUACUCUUCAAACACUUUUACAUCUGUGGGAUUCAUAAGCAUCCCUAUGUAACCACAAAGAGAAAAUCUGAACUUGUCUUGAGAGAAGGGGAGAAAACUGGUGGGCGGCAUAUUGCUGUCAUCAUCUAGUGUGCGGUUUAAUUCCUUUUCCAUAAAUAACAAAAUUUUUGGAAGACCCAACAGAACUGGCGGUUUCAGAAAGCAGCACGCUGGCAAAUCCCAUCAGCAGCAGAGUAUCCCAAGCUGAGCUGUGGGGUUGUUGGUGAACAGAAAACACAAUGAAUUUCAUUCCAUAACUUCUCCUGAAGUGAGGUAGAGACAAUUACAGUAUUUCAACAGGGUAAUGCAGCAGCUCAACAAAGCUUCAGCUGUUACCAUGGACUGGAUAGCCUUGUGCAGACAAACUGGUACUUGGUGGGAAGAGCAGCAAAGGUCUCAGCAGACACAACAGAGCUCACACAUAGGAGGCUUCUGAGAGCAACAGGCUAAAAUUUUAGUGAGAGGAUGGAGCCGUGGGAUGUUCAAUGUCAGCAAAAGACUUCCCCACAGCAGGCAGCAAGCACACCCCAGUGUGUGUGCAGUGUAGCUACAAAACUGAGCAAGAAUCCCCAAAAUGGCUGUGGCUAUAUUCCUCUUCUCAACCAGGGAGAAGGGUGUUUGUCAGGGAUGUCUUGGGGCUCUCCUGAGUGUACACAACAACCUCCUUGCAUCAUCAUGACAACAGGCAGCACGAAUUAACUGCAAUCCACAAAAGUUUUCCAAAAAGCUCUCCUCUCUCAUAAAUUAUGUUGUAUACUAUUUGUAUACUUACAGAUAGGAAGGUGUUCAAAAUACCCACUCUUCUAGCUUGCAUAAAUCACAUUUUAAAUAUACACAUGUAAGCACAUGUAUGUGUUAAAUCAACAUGAUUUUAGUUUUUGUACUUUCAGUGGAAAUCCCCCCACAUUAUUGUCAAAACUACAGUUGUUAAUUUAACAGGUCUACUGCAAAUAAAGGAAAAGCAGAACAAAUACUUAGCCUAGAUUUAUUCAAAACAUUAUAUAGGUUUCCUCUAAAAUGUCACAUUAUUAGAUUUUAUACAGCACUUCUCUCCCCCUCGAUGACUUUUUGCUCUGUAAAAGCUGUGUCAGAGGCAUGGUGUGAAUCAGAGCAAGCCCUGCGUAGGGAGGAAAGGCUCCCACCACACCCAGAGCCCCAGUCAUGCAGCACAGCCACCCCGAGGCCACGCCAGCCCCGUGGGGCAUCCGCAGCAUCAGCCCCACCAGCUCAGGCUUCAAAGAAACGGAAAAAUGGGGAAGCACCUGCUCAGCACAUGGACCCUGGUGGGUGGUUUGGGGUCUGCAGCUCCUGCGAGGAUCCCUGGCACAUGGCCACCCCCUUGGCCACCCUGCAUGUCCCUGGAGCUGGAGGUCUCCUCCAACCUGGCACCUUCAUGGGCACUGUGGGUCCCAGAGGUGCUUCCCAUCUUCAAACAUGUCCCUUUGGAGCACUUCAGCCACCUGUUCAGCAUAGUAAAAUAUCCAAACCAUUUAAUGAGGUUUUCAGUAAAACAAUUCCUUUGAAGUCCCUCAGACCAUGACAGCAAUUAACUCAAGACCUAUCUUCACUUUUGUUGUUUUACUAACUCUUGUUCAAGAUCAACAACAUCACUGAUGGUGCAAAUUAUUUCCCUGCAUAAGCAGUAAUGGAAUGUGUCUCACAUCCAGCCGUUACACUCAGCUGGCAAAGGGACCUGAUUGCAAUUACAGUCACAAUGUGUAGUUUCAUCAACGUCCCUGGGCUCAUCCUGAUUUUUUUAAUAGCCUCCAUUUUGCAGAUGUAGGGCCAUAAGGCAAUUCAUUGUGUUUACUACUGGCAGCAUUUAGAAAUGUAACCUGCUGGCACCUAUAGAUGGAACAGGUAAGGAUGAGAUCACAGAAUGAUGCAUACAAAAGGGGUUGGGAACUGUGGCUCCUCUGAAUAAAACUAUUCCCAAGCACACUCCACUUCACUAUUACUUAUACACAUAUUCAAAAACUUUUACACAAAUGCACGCAAUGUGAAUUGUUUGCAUUGCAAGUUAUUUGUAACAAUACACACUGAAAAGCAAGUAUGUUAUCAGAGUAUAAACAAAUAUAAUUUGUAAAAAGACAAAUCUGAAAUAUGAGUUUCUCCCAAUUACAAAAUGAGAGAAAUAUGAAAUGAGGAAGGUAGCAAGCAAUAGAUACACAGCCAGAGAUCAUUAGUCUAACAACGCCCUUGAUGAAGAAACUUUUUCAAGGUUUUCUGUUUGUUUUAUUUCUGUUUCUCGUGGGGUUUAUCAUUUGUUUGGGGUUUUGUUUUUAAAGUGAGCAAGAAUGAGGGUAAAAGGAAACUAUUUCCCCACCAAAGGGCCUUCUAUGGACCACGUGGGCCAGCCAGCUGGCUCCAGCCACCAUCCUGCAACUUUCUGCCGUGGGGAAGGCCUGUGAGCACACACAUCCCAUUGAACAAGGUUCAAGACAACGAUUCUCACCAGUGACAACACAAAUGUCGUGUAGAAAACCAAAGAACACCCGAAUCCUUCUCCUUGUGUCAUCUGAUGAUGCCAUCUGCAUCCUAUACCUUAAUCUGUUGGCCAGGAUUCCAUCUCCAGACCUAUAAGGUCACAACAACGCACUACUCCAAAGUAAAAAAGACAGGAGAAAUAGUUGCAAUCUGGAAUUUUUAUUCUGUGAGAAAUUAUAAUAUUUUCAUGAGUGCAGAAAGGAAAGGAAAUCUUAAAAGAUUCGUGCAAAACUGAAGUCAUGAAAACUUUUUAUGGCAAUGUUACAUUUUAAUAACAUGCAGAUGUAGUCUGAAAACGUUAAAAUGAUCCAAACGUAACAAAAUAUAAAAUAAAGUGUAUAGUAAACAUGAGAACUACACUAUAAUAAUAAUAAUAAUAAUUAAAAACCCCUAAAACUGGAACAAAUUAAAACAUUGCAGUAUCAUCAAAACAAAACACUUAACAUCAUACCAACAGAGAUGAAAGUCAAAUGAUGCAUUGGAACACCUUUUGUCUCAAAACUGAGUGUAAUCAACAAAAUUCCUAUAGAAAAUUUCAUUUUUACUCAAACUGCACUUUGGAUUCAGAGCUGUUUGAACAUGCUUUGACUACCUAUACCCAAGAAAAUUGCUGCCAUCCCGACCUCCUCUCCAAAGGUGAUGCAGGCAAAUGGAAAAGCGUCACUCGUUCUUACCGAAAUAAUGCCUAAGGCCUGUGUUUGCUAUAAAAUUGGUGGUCUCGGCUUAUUUCUCAGCAAAGAUGAUUUAAGGAGAGGUAAAGCGAAGCUAUUGUUAGUGAGACUUUCUUACUGUAAGAAACCAUACAACAGUGCAUUUACUGGUAUGCUAUGAAAUACCAUAAAUCAUUCUGACAACGUGAUACUUGUCAAAAUAAAGGCUUAAAAUACAUCUUGGAAUAAAAUAUCCUCAAUCUUAUUUAUUUGUUUGCUCACUCGUGCCAUUUGGCUUUUCUCAGUGGGUUUCCCAAUCGUUAGGGUGAAUUAGUGAGAUUCUGCUGUAAAAACAUAACCAUGUGCAUAUUCACAGGCUUAUACACACUGAAUAUCUGCAUAUAGCACUGUACGGCCACUCAACAGAACUAAAAAUAAAGCUUUCAAAGGCCACUUCAGUUUUCCUGCAAUAUUUUUUCCCUUUUCCGGCAUUUUUUCCCCUCCCCCCUGCCAAAUAUUUCACUAAUGCUCAAUGGUGGCACGGUUUAAGGGAGUCCUGCAUGGAAAGCUCCUUCAGCUGCUUAGCCCAACAGCAUAAAUUUGAUCUCGUAAUUAGUAUUCAGCUCAGCAUCUUGGAUAGAAACCAAUGUUACAGCCAAGAGGUGGUUUAAAUCACAUAAAUCAUAGAUCAAUGACAGAACUCUAAGCACUGGAUAGAUUACAAAAGUAAGCUUUAGUUAAAAAUAGAUUAACCAUUUCCCUGCAGGAAUUCCUUCAAAAAAAGCCCUGAAUAUAAAACAAAUAAAAUUAAAUCUGAUAAUUUUUUUUUCUAAUGUGUGUAUAGACUAGAUGAAUUGUUCUUUCCCUUGACAGUUACACACUGAUUAAAGAAAUGUGUUAACAUGCUAUUUCAAUGGAAAAUAUUGUAAAUUGUGGAGACUUUAAUUUUUUUUAAUGAGCCUUUAAUAGCCAGAAAGAACAUACUAGCAAUGUUGUGUACAGCAGGUUUAUAGCAAAUAUCACAGCAACUAGCAGAUACCUCUUUAGUUGCUGUUUUAAUUAAAAGGGAAAAAAUCUUCCCGAAGCCAAGAAAAAUAUUUUUGAGAAGGGUUUUUAAAGUAUUUCAUGUUUUAAAUUUUAGCUAGUGAAGUGCCCAUUUCUAAGAAGUAUCACAACCCAUCUGCUAUUCUGAUUUAAGCACCCAUGGGGGUACUCAGCAUCUUGAAGGAUUGUGCCCAGGAUCAUCAAAUUGUUAAAAGUUCAGUGGAAGAGGAAAUACGGGGCUGCAUCUCUUCCCCUUGACUAGGGAAGGAAAGAGGCUUUGGUUCCUGAAAUCAAAUUCUCUGCCGUUGUUAACCAGCAUUACACCAAACAGGGGUGCACCGACAGAUGCAGAUUCUGCCAACCAGGAAUCCACCCUGCAAACUGAGAACUGCAGAAUACAAAUCAAAAGUAUGUGCUUGCGCCUGUAUAUUUGACUGUGUUUUCCUCCCAUGAGGUCAGACAUUAUUGAAAAGGAAAAAAAAAAGAACACCACCACCACUUUUCAGCAUGUGAAGGAAAAUUUGCAUGCCUGUUUUCUUAGUUGCAGCAUUGAAAGUGAGAAAUGCCUUAGCAGCACCUCAGCCAUUCCUCCGGCCAGAGAAUUGCACAGUUCCAAGCCAUUGCAGCUGGAAUAAUGUGCUCGAAUUCCUCUCCUUGACUGGCAGGCGCACGGGAGGAAAAAAAGCCUCUUAAACACAUACAGUCCGAGGCAGUUCAAGCAACAUCAAACAGAUGAAAAACAUCAGGCACCCAAUCCUGCCACCUCAUAUGCCCUCUUUAUAACCUCCAAAUGCAGCUUAAAAUUAGUUAGAAAAUGAUCAAACAAACUGAGAGAAACACCAAAUUCCCUACCCCUGGACUAGCAAAUUUUCAGCUCUCCAUUUGAUCAAAAUAUGGGAAUUCACCCCAAUAAAAAGUUGCACAGUUCUUGAACUGGUAAAUAACUGUUAUAGGCACCAUAUAAUGAAACCAAACUUCCUGAACACCAAUAUCUGGUUGUAUAAUUGACUUCCCACAGAUCACAAAAAAGUUACUAUAAUUCUUCUUAUCAUAUGUAGACUUUUAAAAAUAUAUAAUACCAUUUUAUAGGCAUUUACAUUUGUUUUCAAAUACUCCAGCUCCAUCAAGAAAAACAUUUUUAAACUUUUAGUGCUUCAUGGAAAUUACUACUAAGAAGAAAUAAAAAAGCAAGCUGCUCGAUGGCUAUUUCAGGAAAAACAUUCAGAUUUCAAAACUGGCACUCCAUGUGAUAGAAGACUGCAAUAUAUGCAAUCAAGAGACAGAUUCAAACAAUAAUAACUAGCACAGGCUCCAGGGCAUAGCAGAAUGUGUCAUGUGCUUCAGACCCCAUCCUUUAAACAUCAGCCCUAUGAGUAGUUCUGCGGAAAAUAGAUGGGACUGCUCAUGCAAGUAUAGAGUAGUCACAGAAGAAAGUUUUCAAAGGCUCUACAUUUUCUAAGGUGUUGAGAAAUGCAUACCAAGUUUAGUAAAACUAAAAAAAAAAAAGAAAAGAAAAAAAAAAGAGAGAGAAAAAAAUCUCCUGUAAUAAGCCAAAUUGUCAGAGAGAUGUCAGGGUUAAUUUUUAAAGGCACAUUUCCCUCCAGCAACAAUUCUCUUUAAUUAUUUCAAUGUGAAACACAUUAUCAGACAUGCUUGUUCCCUGUUCUCAGCUCGUAGUGCCUGACACCAGAGAGGUACAAGACGUUAUGACUUCACUGAUGCUCACACACACGGGUGCUGGGUACGUGCUCCGUGCCAGCCCAGAACACACACGACAGCCUUCCAGUGUGUUUGGGUGGGAAUUUACCUUGUUUGUUUUUUUUUUACUUUAAGGUUUAAUAGUUGUGUGGAAUAGACACCACAGAUCAGACAAAGUCCAGUGAGAAAGCCGCUGGCACACUGCAGCACAUGGAGCUGCUGCAGGACACAAUAACAAAUAAGUUAAUGAGAAACACUUUAUGUUCCUCCCAGGUAGUAAGGGACACUGUUCAGAGACCAAAAUAAAACAUCAUCUCAAAAAUACGAGUGACAGUGGUUUAAAAUUUCAAUAUGCAGAAGAAACUUUCAUCUAAUGAAUCAGUUCAGCAUAUUUGAUCAAGUAUUUCAGAUGGUGAAGGUGGGUUUUCUGUUUUCUAACACCAUUUCAAACUUGAGAGGUGUGUAUUUAAAGUUCUUAAAUAUGCAAGAACUCACACCCAUCUAUUCAACCCUCAUUUUGGUGCAAGGGACUGAUCCUUUUCUUGAGAAGGAAGGCUGGAAAGGAAGAGGCUUUGGACCACCUCUACCAGAUCGGCUGUAAUCUAACGGCCUUUUUUAUACCACCUACAGUAAAACUCACUAUAUAGCUAGUCGUAAGAUUAAAAGCUUUUCAAGUUGCUAUCUUGGGAAAUUUCUUCCAAGGAAAUUACUACAAAGCCUUGUUUUAGUGUGUUCCCCUACUGUGCGUCCUACUGUGUUUUUUUAAUAAGGAAAGUUAUCCAUCCAUAGAGGUGUAUCCUGUUCUCCAUGCUUGAGUGUCUAACAGCAGGCACAUACAGUAGACACUCUGAUGUUUUGCCUCUUUAAUUUUCACUCCAUAAUGUUGGUGCCUGGUUUUCCUGACUGCACCUUCAGAGCAGUUUAAUUAUGGGCGUGCACAGAAUUUUGAGAGGGGAUUUUCAGCAACAAAAAAUUCAGAUGUUAUGAACAAGUUUAAUACAUGAAGAUAUUCAGAAUUUUUUACCAUGAAAUAAAAUCCCGCUAUGCAGUUAUCACAGGAUGGAAAGUGUGAUAAUAUCACCAAAAGAAAAAAUACAAAUACUUCAUGACUAAAAGAGAAAAGGGUAUAGAGAUGCUUCAUUUAGUCUUUAAAAGAUGCUUCAUAAAGAUAUAGAGAUGUUUCAUAUAGAUAAAGAGAUGCUUCAUAUGGAUAUAGAGAUGCUUCAUUUCAGUCUUUGAAAAGACAACUGUAUGCUAAAUAUGAAGGUAUGGCAGAUACAUCACCAUGCUUUCAAGCAAACAGGACAAAGUCACAGGUUUCUACACUCGAACUCCCAACCAGCCGAAAAUAGCUCAUGGCACUGAAUUUAUUGGCCCAAGGAUCAAGUCAAGCAGCUCUCCAAUAAAAGGUUACCUUACCACUCAAACAUCAGACCUGAAAUGUUGUGGGUUUUUUUUAAUAAUAACAGGCUAGGUACUGGGUUAUAAAUGAGCACUGCUCCAUUGACUUCAGACAGGGUAUGAAAAUUGAUUCAAUGGAGCACCACCAGUUCUCACCAGCUGAGUAUCUGUCCCUCUAAUCACAACUAAAAAGAUUUUCUUAGUCAAUUAAAGGCUCAAAGCCUUUACUCACUCGCACAAAAUCCCCGUUGAAGUCAGUGCUAACAAUACAUUCAUUUAAAUCUUAACAAACUGCAGCGCGCGCACUGCCUGGUGGCACCGUUAGUGCUGUAUAUUGAAAUACGCGCUCCUGCCAUCGAUGGAGCAAUACGUACUGUUCCAUACUGUCUCACGUGGCCCAGGAUAAUACCUGACUCCCCUCCGAUUCUGACACGUUUCUUUAGUAACUGACAAAAAAAUUAGCACAUUCAUUAUUUUUGCUAACAGGAGUAUGAGCUCUAUGAAGAAAACAUGUACCUAUGCUGACAGAAUGGGAGUACUUUAAUUUCCAAAUUACAUACAUAAAUAAAUCAAGCCAUAUAACCUGAUAAAUGAAAGAUUAUGAAAAUAGUAAUAUCCUGCAAAAUCUUGAAAGGCAUCAUAAUUCCUCAAACAAUUAUCUUCUGUCAUAUUUGCGAGUAGCCCAUGUAGUUCAAGAACGGAAAAUACAAAUGUGCUCCUUUAAAAUUCAUGAAACCACUCAUUCUGUCAUAAAAGCAGGCAUCUUUCAUGGCUACUUAUUUCACACAGUCUCAUAACUAAUACUGACAGAUACUUGGAAUGCAAAAAAAAAAAAAUGAGCACUGGACAAAGAAUACGAGCUGCUCAAUUCUUACAUUUUGAUGCUUAAAACAGAAAAUAAAAUCAUAUUUUAUAUACCCUUACAGAAUUUCUGGCAUAAUUAAAUUAAAAUUCGUAGAUAAAAACGAGAUUGUACAAGGACUGGUGCUAUACUGCUCCCAGGAUUGGGCUGUGCUGCAUCCAUGACAACAGGAUGGAAGGUUGCUUUUAAUACUAUUAUCUUACAUACCCACAGCUGAAUGCUAAUGCAGCUAUACUGAAGAAAUCAAGUUUCAGAUCUGUAUCCACUGAACUUACAUCCACUAGGCAGGGAGUUUAAAAGCCAGGCUAGCAUACGAAGACUAAUAUUAUAGCUCUGUCAACUCCCCAAAGGUCAGAUAUUUCAAAAGGUAAACACAAAUAUUAAUUGUCAGGUAGUUCUGUACUGAAGACCAGAACUGAGGCAAAAAUCAGGUUUUGUGACCAUAAUUUUCUUCCAAUUUCAUUUUAUGAAAUGGAGGCACAGAAGAAAACAAAGAUUAACUCAGAUCAGUUUAUGUUCUGAACACUGACAGAUGCUGACGCUAUUCCUUACUAACAUUGCCUCAGUAAGGGUUGUACCUGUUUCCUUCAAUGAAGGAGAGAGAAAAUGUGUGGGAAAGCAGCUGGGCAGCCUUAUUUUCCAGGAGGUAUCGAUUGAUCCAUCUUUAUCCUGGCUGGGGGAUGCAGGUCCUGAUCCUAGCUGGCCCUUUGCCUGCAGGAGGAACCUCUGCUCUACCCAGGGGAACAGCAAGUUCUCCCACAGGCACCUCUGGACCUGCCCAGCUCCUUCUACAGACAUUGUCUCCAACUUCUCAGUUCCUCUUGUUAUGGACUUAAAAACACAGAUUGCUAGAAAAUCAUGAAUAGGAAAAAAAAAAAAGGCAAGUUAUGUUUUUGGGGGGCAACUGACUUAAUAUUUUGCAGGUGUCUCCUGUCAUAGUCAAGUGUGUGGACAUUCUCGCAGUUAAAAACGCCCCAUUUUUCAGUGAAUGCAUUCUUAGAAUUACUAUACAUGAAAUAAACAAUAAAAUAAUUAAUAUAGUAAAACAAAUAAAGUAAAGAUAAUAAAAUAAUCUGGACCAACGGAACUAAAAUAAGGAGAAGAGGCCCUUGUAGUGAAGGCUUCUCAAGUCCAUCAGGUGGAGACCAAGCUAGCUAUUGUGGAAAUGAGAGUUCACUCAUAAACCACAACAGAACUGCACUUCCCAAGGGAUUUUUACCCCAUGCAAAGUACUUUGUCUCUUCAAAAGCACAAAUUCAGUGCAGCAGCGAAAAGAUGCUUCAUUUAAGGAAAAGUAAAAGGUGGCAACAAUGGUCGCAACAAUCAAAGUGUUGGCUUCUAAGUGGCAGAAUGACAAAAAGUUCUAGCACUUCAUGAUAUUGUAAUAGAAAAAAGUAUUAAGUUGUUAGUGGAAGUGUAUUUAAGAAAAGCCCCACACGUGGAUGUAAUAGAAAAUUAAUCCUCAGAGCCCAGAAAGUCCCCGAGGAUGUAGAAUCCAUCAUGAAGUUACCUCCUGUCCUAGAUUUUCUUGUUGCUUGCCUCUGCUGACAACAGUUGGCUUUUCAUUAGAGUAUUUGAUAUCAAUUUACUCAGACACUGGGGGCAAAAAAGGAUUUCACUUUCUUCAUCUGAAAGACACUGAUCCACAGAAUUAGUACUUUGAACAGAUGCCAGGGUAAAAUAGUGACACAUUUUCUAAACUAAUAACCACAGGUGGCCACAGCAAAUUGUCCAAAACCUCUCAGGGCUGCCCAGGCAGCCAUGGGUCUCCUGAAUUUCUGAUCGUUCUGGUACAGACAACAUUCCUGAAUGCAAAGGUAUCUCCUUCUAGCCAGUUCUUGCUCUGGCUCAUAUUUCUAAACUAGUCCCAUAAAGAAACAUCAUCAUUUUUAAUGCCCUCUUUCAGAUGAUGCCCAUCCUUCUGCAGAAGAGAAUACAAGGCAGUAACUGCUCUAAGUGUAUUUUCAGAUUAAAAUCUCUCAAAAGAGGUUAGACCCCACGUUAGUAGGUAUUAAGAACUAAAUUAACUUCAGGCAACACAACAAAUAACCCCAGGAGGGGUGUCUACCUCACCUAACUUGACAAAAGAGUUGGCUACCUUCUGCUUCUUACCAUCUACAGUGUUGGAAGGACCAACACUGCAAAGCACCUGGAGAAACCUCCAUCCGACCAGCAAUGACCCUGUUGGCACAAGGUUACCACACAGCUUGCUCCCAACUGACUUGGCAUCUAGUAAAACCUCUGGUUCAUCGCAAAGAGAGCACAAAACUUUGCCCACUUAGAAAUGUUUUCAUAGACCUUGGCUCAUUCCUUUUUCAAACCUCUAUUAUAUUAAGGGUUUAUCACAGAAACCCUUACAAAAAAUGAACUUCCCUGAAGUGACUGGUUCUGCACCCACAAGAGGUGUGAUUUAGACGCUCAGGCCAGAGCCCAGUCACCUGGUAGGAGGGCUGGCAGGGGACCAGCCUUGGCUGAGACAUUGCAGACCUGAGCUCUUCACCGAGCUUCUGCGCACCUAGAGUUCGGCUCAAGCAAGAAGAUGACUUUGCAAUUGAAUAAAUGCUUCUGGACUUGCAGCAAGCAGAGCUUGUGCUUUGCUACAGACAGAAGCAGCCUAAAUUGGAUGUCUAAAAUCAGACAGCAUCUCUGCAUCUUGGUGGAAGAGUGGAAAAUUAAGGUGGAAACCUGAAAGGACCAGAAACAAGCCCCCUGUUCAUCAGCAAGACACCAAUACCACGGGCACAUGAGUCUCUGUAGUCAGCACAUUUCUGACCUAUGAUGAUUCCUCAAGUGCAGCAACGAUCUGUCAGGAAUUGGACUAUAAUAAGGUUAAAAAAAAAAAAAAAGAUAUUUUUAUCAGAAGACUUGGG